ensembl:lncRNA
GUUUGAUCACAGAGCGCGCAGUAGCCAUUAGAAAUCAUGCAAAAACCUGAAGCUGUGGAGUAGAGAGGGGUGGGGCCUGCUGGGUUUAUAGGCUGAGAGCCCUUUCUGAAAAUAACACUCUUUUGGAUUAUAACGCAUUUCUUUGGAUGAAUAUACAGUGCCAAAGAACAAAAUGAAGCUGGGUCUCUUUACUGUGUUGUUGUUUGCCAUGCAGUGGAGAGGUAGCAUGAUAACAGGUGAGUUUUAGUGCGUUUGUCUCUUCAGCUCAGUAGUUCAGUAGUUAAUACUGUGGUCUGAAUUCUCAGUGUGAUUUGCUUUGUAUGAUACAGAGAGUGUGUGGUGGUACUGUGAAUUUAUUAGAGAAAAAGAGAAAGAGUGUAAAUGUGUGUGUUUUGAAUGGUAAUACAGUAUGUUUUCAUGGACAAAUACGAAUGUUCAUGAUUUACUUUUCUUCAGCAGGACAUGAAAACCCCAUAUCAUGUUGUAGAGAAACCAGCAAAUACAGGGUCAGAGUUGAAAAGAUUGUGAGCUAUGUGUAUCAAGCUGAACCACUAUGCCCUAUCAAAGCUAUAAGGCAAGUUUAAUUUGGUACAUAGCAAAACAAUAUGCUCUAAUCCAGCAGAUCCUUGGGCCAAACAUGCCAUAAAGGAACUGGAUAGAAGAACAACCACAAAAGCGCUCGAUACCCCACCAUCAACGGCGGUACUUGGAUUCCCCAUAUCAUGUUGUACAGAAACCAAGCGAACCAAUGUCAGAGUUGAAAAAAUUGUGAACUAUGUGCAUCAAGAUUAUCCACAAUGCCCUAUCAAAGCUGUAAGGUUUAAUCUGGUAAACAGCAUAACAGUAUGCUCUAAUCCAGAGGAUCCUUGGGCCAAACAUGCCAUAAAGGUAGUGGAUAGUCGACCACAAACACAAAAAUGCCCAAUACCCCAUCGACUUCUAUAAGCUGUACAACAACUACUACAAGCACAUCUACACCAGGAAUAAGUCCAACAAAUACAAUAACCACGACAACACCUAAAGGAACAUCAACUACAUGGAAAACAACAACAUACAUCACUCAUACAUCUUCGACCAAACAACCACUUGGACAACAACUGCCUCAAUGGACAACAACGCAAAUUAUGACAGCAAAGAUGACUACUACUACGGCUAGGAAGCCAGUGAUAACUGAUAACAAGACGACUUCCACGACUAUAAACAGCUAUACAAACUAUACAGAAACAACUAUAACACCACCAACCACAAGUACAACAUCCAUCAAACAUAUAUUACUGAUACCAGAGCAAUCUAGGACAACUACCAAGUUACCACUAUGGCCAAUAAUGCCAAGCAACACUGAGAGAUCAUUAAAUGACAGAAAGAGCACCUCAAGAACACCCAAUAAUACACCAACACAAAUGUCUACAAGUUUGACCACUGAAAAAUGGAGAGAAUCCACUAUAUCACCUACACCUAUACCAGAGACAUAUAAAUAUACAAAAAGCACAGUGACCAUGACUGACAGCACACAAUCUACAACAUACAUCAAUCAUACAUCACUGAUGACGGAAUCUUCUCGGAAAAUCAAAACGCAAAACACCAAAAAACCAGAAUCUAAUGAAAAUAGAAAGCAAAAGACGAUCGUGAUAUCCCAAAUACCAGAGAAGGAAAGGGAAGCACUGGACUGGACAGAACAUUUUUGUCAGUGGUCAGAGAUACAAGAAACACGGUAUUGUUCCUUUUACUAUGAUUAGCCUGAAUUUAUUUAUGAUUUUCUAGUCACACGGUUUUGGAGAUUUACUGAAAAGUAUGCACAUUUGUAAAUUAGUCUUUUAAUGCUUAAUAUAAAUGUAACAUUAUGCUUAUUUAUGCCACGAUCAAGCCAAUAAACCUGUAUGACUAAAAUGAGGGGACUAUUAAAAAAAUUUUUUUUAGAAUAAUUAGAAAUGUUAGCUUGUGUGUGCAUGUUUGAUAUUAAAUUCACCUCAUUUUACUGCAUGUUUUUAAUUUUAAUUUAACUAAACGUUUAAACAUUUAAUCAAUUUUAAUUGAAUCUGUAAAUGUUUCAAAUCACAAAAUAAUGCAAAUAAUAAAAGAAAGUCUUACAUAUGAAUUUAGUCAGUUUAGUAAAUCAUUCACAUUUAUACUGCUGUCUUUAAUACUGUAGUACAAAAGAAGUGGUCAAUUAAAAUUUAAAAAAUAAUAAUAGAA